UGGGGAAUAUUGCACAAUGGGCGCAAGCCUGAUGCAGCCAUGCCGCGUGUAUGAAGAAGGCCUUCGGGUUGUAAAGUACUUUCAGCGGGGAGGAAGGCGAUCAGGUUAAUAACCUUGUCGAUUGACGUUACCCGCAGAAGAAGCACCGGCUAACUCCGUGCCAGCAGCCGCGGUAAUACGGAGGGUGCAAGCGUUAAUCGGAAUUACUGGGCGUAAAGCGCACGCAGGCGGUUUGUUAAGUCAGAUGAGAAAUCCCCGGACUCAACCUGGGAACUGCAUCUGAUACUGGCAAGCUUGAGUCUCGUAGAGGUGGGUAGAAUUCCAGGUGUAGCGGUGAAAUGCGUAGAGAUCUGGAGGAAUACCGGUGGCGAAGGCGGCCCCCUGAACAAAGACUGACGCUCAGGUGCGAAAGCGUGGGGAGCAAACAGG
rnacentral:rRNA from 1 species